UUGUGAUCCUGGAGAAAGAUAUUUCAUAUCAGGCAUUUUUAAAAUAACCAUACCCUAAUCUUGCCUUCAAGGUUUCACAAUUGCUAUUUCCCACACUGCUGAUCUCAUUCUUAACUGGACACCUUCAGCCUAUUUCCCAAAGCCAAAGAGGCAGUAUGAGGAUUCAAGUCAAGAACGUCUCUUAUUAUCUUUCACCUGAACUUCCUCAACAUUGGAUCUUGGGAAGGCUGCUGUGCAAGCUGCUCUGCCUCUUGGGCCAUGUGACCCAGCAGAUCCAAUGGUGCUUGAGGUGUCAGUGGCAGAGAAGAAUGCUGUUUGGAGCCUUUGGCAGCCCCCAUAGGUGAAUCACAGCAAAGGACUUUACAAUUUUGGAGCAAGGCCCUGCCAUCUUUGUCAGAUAACUACUCUCCUUUCGAGAGACAGCUCUUGGACUGUUAAUGGGCUUUGGGGGAAACUGAACAUUUGACUGUGGGUCAUCAAGUCACCAUGUGACCUGAACUGCCUAUCAUGACCUGAGUGCUUUCUGACCCAUCUAGCCACAAAGUGGGUUGUACAAAGAAGCAUUCCAUCAUCAAAUGGAAGUGGUAUAUAUGUGACUGGGUUUGAGCAGGUUCUGAAGUACAUAAGGCACAAGUAAGUUAUACUGAAAUGCCCAUGGUCUCCACUUCUAUCACCCUGCCUUUUCUCCCUCAGCCCACACUGAUGGCCUCAGGGGAAAUCCCCUAUGAUCUGGUGACAGAGGAAGAGAAGACCAGGGCCUGAUUACAGAUAGUUCUGCACAAUAUGCAGGCAUCACCUAAAAGUGGACAGCUACAGCCCCUUUCUAGGGCAUACCUGAAGGACAGCGGUGAAGGGAAAUCUUCCCAGUGGGCUGAACUUCCAGCAAUGCACCUGGUUGUGCACUUUGCAUGGAAGGAGAAAUGGCCAGAUUUGUGAUUAUACACUGAUUCAUGGGCUGUAGCAAAUAGUUUGGCUGGAUGGUCAGGGACAUGGAAGAAGGAUGAUUGGAAAAUUUGAGACAAAAAA
rnacentral:lncRNA from 1 species